GAACAAUCAACCAAUGGAACAGAAUUUGUCCUCAGAAGUUGUGGGAGCUUCAUCACUUGAGACUUUCAAGAAGAGAUUGGACUCCCAUCUGUCAGAAAUGGUGUAGGGUCUCCUGCUUGGGUGGGGGGUUGGACUAGAUGACCUAUAAGGACCCUUCCAAUUCUGAUCAUCUGUUAUCUGUGAAAGAUCAUGAAGGUCCAUGUCCCUAUGUUGAUGGGAAACCUGACUGGGCCCAGAUCUUUAAAGGAGGGGUGUCCAAUCUUGGCAACUUUUAAGAUCUGUGGACUUCAACUCCCAGAAUUCUCCAGCCAACCAUGCUGGCUGGGGAAUUCUGGGAAUUGAAGUUCACAAGAAAAAGCAAGAUGAGUGACAGAUGGUGACUGGAGAAGUUUUGGAUGCUAUAGAUUGUGUAAGGUUGUUUAGGAAUUGGUGCUGAACAACUGGUCUCUCUUUCACUGGAAGAAUUGAGAUAGAACCUUAGGCAGUUGACUUCAACCCAAGCUUUGCUCACCUCAAUCUACUCUUAAUUCUCUGUUCUGCUUGUAGGUGCUUGUGGGUGUACAAUUUCCACGCCCGGAUCUCACAGUUCCAUGGUCAAUUCGGAUAGUCUGUGCAAUGAGAAAUCUCAAGCCAAAUCUCCGGGGAAGAAAAUACAGAGGCCCACAUACACCGUCAAUAUUGCCAACACAUCCCAGGGCUUUGUAAGUUUUGGUUACCUGCAUUUGGUUAUAUUAAAAACAACAGGGACGCGGUGGCUCAGGGGCUAAGACGUCGAGCUUGUGGAUCAGAAAGUUUGGCAGUUCGGUGGUUCGAAUCCCUAGCGCUGCAUCACGGAGUGAGCUCCCGUUCCUUGUCCCAGCUUCUGCCAACCCAGCCGUUCGAAAGCAUGUAAAAGAAAUGCAAGUAGAUAAAUAGGGACCACCUUUGGUGGGAAGGUAACGGCGUUCCGUGCGCCUUUGAAGGCAUUUAGUCCUGCCGGCCACAUGACCAGGGAGGCAUCUUCGGACAGCGCUGGCUCU
rnacentral:lncRNA from 1 species